rfam:Verrucomicrobiaceae bacterium TMED86 MHASMcontig_122003, whole genome shotgun sequence.
GCCGCCGUGGCGGAAUUGGUAGACGCUGUGGAUUUAAAAUCCAUUGAUCCUAGAUCGUGCGGGUUCGAUCCCCGCCGGCGGUA